rnacentral:lncRNA from 1 species
AUGACACUUUCACAAAAAAGAGAAAUCUCAUUAUGCAAAUGCCACCAUAUAAUGCUUUAUAACACUUCAAUAUUAAGAAAAAAAAAUGUAUUUAGGCAUUUAGCCAUGAACAUUUAUCAUGUGAUCCUCAACAGUGGUGAAAAUUAUUAUUCAUACUGCAGUGCAUUAUGGGAGUAAUUCAUGUAUUGCAACAUGAAGCAUUUUGUUGAUUGUAACCAUUGUAGAGAUUCAUAUGCUGGUUCUUGAUAUCUGAGUGUGUGUCUAAAAAGCACUGGAGUUCAAACUUUUAUAUGUGUUACAAAUAUAAAAAAAAAAUCCAUAUCCUGUAAAUAUUAGAGCAAUGCUUUUUUUGUGUGCAUGCUGUAGUUUCACUGGAAUUAUUCAAAACCUAGACAUGUGAUAAGAAAGAAGACAAAAAUAUUUGAGAUAUAGUUAAACCAGCUCAUUGUAACUAUAUGUUUUUCAUAUGUCACAGUUCUGUCUUCUCCACAACAACCCAUGCAGAGCUACAGAGAGGGAUCUAGCACAACAAGUCAAGGGUCAAGAGCACAAUUAAACCAAACACUGAUCUCCAUGAUGGUGGCAUCUUUUUAACCAAUAAAACAUCCACAUCUGAUCCUCUGUAAUUCUCAGUAACAGCAGGUGUUCAUCACUAAUGCACAUUCAAUAGUCACUUAAUUAUCUCAUUAACUUUAACUCUUUGAGGACUUGGGAUUUAAUUUGAGAGUCGUUUGUGACUUGGAAGGAAUGACUUGGUUCCUCUGGUGAAAUCAGCUGCUGGACUUUUACUCUUUGGCCCCUGGACUUCCCACCUCUGUACAAAACUGGUCUCUUAAGUACAAAUCACAAGGGUACAGCCCAGUGACAAGCUAUUGUACCCCUAAAGGUACAUUUAUGUACUUUAUUUUCUAGGGGUGCUCCGAUCACGAUCGGCCGAUCGUUAAUGCGCAUCUCGUCAGUAAAGCCGGUUCUCUAAUCAGCUGUUAAUUCCAUCAGGUGCGUGAUUUCACUAGGGAUGUUCCGGUACUAGUACCGGUACCAAACUGUACCCCGGGCUAAUUAAAUUUGGAAGUGAUCAUCCUUAUCCCCUUGGAGCGGGGACUUUGGAGUGAGCAGAGGUGGGAAAGUCCAGGUGCCAAGAGUAAAAGUCCUGCCAUAUUUUUGUUCCACCCAUGAACUCAUCAGACGAUUUCAUCAGAGGAGGAACCAAGUCAUUCCUUCCAAGUCACAAACGAGUCUUGAGUCCAAAUCCCAAGUCCUCAAAGAGUUAAAGUUAAUGAGAUAAUUAAGUGACUAUUGAAUGUGCAUUAGUGAUGAACACCUGCUGUUAUUGAGAUUACAGAGGAUCAGACGUGGAUGUUUUAUUGGUUAAAAAGAUGCCACCAUCAUGGAGAUCAGUGUUUGGUUUAAUUGUGCUCUUGACCCUUGACUUGUUGUGCUAGAUCUCUCUCUGUAGCUCUGCAUGGGUU